CUGAGGAACCUGAGGCAAACAGAAGUUACAUUACUUAUCCAGGGUCACACAACAAGUGACUGAAGGUGGAUACAAACUCAGACUUAUCCUGACUCCAGCCCCAGUGAGCUACCUAGUUGCUUUUUAAAAAGAAUGGAUCAAUUUAGUCUUUAAAUUGGAAGAAAAUUCACAAGAACUGAAGCAUGACUCAACCAAGUCCAACCAGACCUGCAGAGAGGAUCCCAGGUGCCAAGUGGUGCCUUGCUUUUCAGCCAAGGACAAGGAAAUUACUCCCUUUGAUCUUGGCCUCUAUGAGAAGGAAAUUCCUGGCCUUCAGCCCUGUGGCAUCACAGGGCACCCUUGGAACUUGGAGAUCAAUGGAAGUUAUGGAAUGUUGGAAUGAAGAUAAGCCAAACUGCUAAUUUCUUGUUCAUUCUCAUUAACAAAUAAGCAAAAUAAAAGUUUUUAUCAUGGAGCAAAAUUUAAACUGCUGUCAUUUUCCUUCCAAUGAGAAGCCAGAGGAAAAUUAAAUUUAAAAAAAAUUUGAAGAACCAUAUUCAGUAAAUACAAGCCUUGGACUUGUUAUUAGAAUUCAACCCCUGUCUCUUAGUGAACUGCAUGAUCUUGAAUAAAUCCCCUUUGAGCAUCUGUUUCUUCAAAUCCAGAAUGGGAAUAUUAAUGAUACUUAUGGCAGGACAGCAACUCCAAAGAAAUUAUAAUGAUAAUAAUCAAAGAAAGAGAUCAUGUCAGAGUGGCUGGACAGCAGUCCUAAAGCCAAAAAGGUUAUAUGAUAUGGGUUAUCAUGUGCUAUCAUGUAAAACAUAUUUCCAUAUUUGUCAUCUUGUUAAUGAAGAUACAUAUUUGUUUAUACAAUAAAAAAAUCAUGAAGGAAAUAACGUGGAAAAUGGUAUGCUUCCAUCCUCAUUCAGGCUCUCAGUUCCUUCUAUAGCAAUGGAUAGCUUUUUCUAUCAUGAGUCCAUUGGAGGUCUUGGAUCCUUGCCUUGGUGAUAAUGAUUAAGUCUGUUACAGUUGAUGAAUUGAACAUUUUUGCUGUUACUGUGUAUAACAUUCUUAUGGUUCUGCUCACUUUGCAUCACUUCAUGUAAGUCUUUCCAGGUUUUUUUGUAAUAAUCUUGUUUGUCACUUCAUGUAGUGAUAUAACAUCUCAUUACAAGCAUAUAGCACCACUUGUUCAACCCUUUCCCAACUGAUCAACAUCACUUCAGUUUCCAGGGGUAUUUUGCCGCCACAAAAAGAGCUGUGAUAAAUAUAUUUUUAUAACUAUUAUCUUCUUAGAAUUAUAAAUGUGUAUUGGUUCCAAGGUGUAAGAGUGGUAAAGACUAUCUAUGCAGUGGGGAUUAAGUGACUUGCCAAGAUUCACACAACUAGGAAGUAUCUAAGGUCAUAUUUCAACCCAGAAUCUAUGUUUGGCUCUCAAUCCACUAAGCCACCUUGCUUUUCCUUGUUAUUAAUAUUUUUAUACAAAUAGGUAUUUUCUCCCAUCUUUGAUGUGCUUGGGAUAUAGACUUAGUAGAAAUAUUGCUGGAUCAAAGGGUAUGCAUAGUUUUAUGGUCCUCUGAAAAAAAUUUUUUUUCCAGAAUGGCUAUAGUAGUUCACAGUUCCACCAUCACUGUAUUAGUGUCUCAAUUAUCCCAUAUCAUCCACCCCCAACAUUUAACAUUUUCCUUUCUUGUCAUAUUAGGAAGUGUUAUUGGUGUGAGGUGGCAUUUCAAAGUUGUUAUAAUGUGCAUUUCUCCAAUUAAUAGUAAAUAAUUUGAAACAUGUUUUUCAUAUGACUAGAUAUUGUUUAAUUUCUUCAUUGGAGAACUAUCUGUUCAUAUCCUUAGGCCAUUUAUCAAUUAAGGAAUGACUUAUA
ensembl:lncRNA